UGGUGGAGCGAUUUGUCUGGUUAAUUCCGAUAACGAACGAGACUCUAGCCUAUUAAAUAGUUCGCCGAUUUUUCGAGUCGGCGUCAACUUCUUAGAGGGACGAGUGGCGUUUAGCCACGCGAGAUUGAGCAAUAACA
rnacentral:rRNA from 1 species